rnacentral:rRNA from 1 species
AUCGAACGCUGGCGGCAGGCCUAACACAUGCAAGUCGAGCGAGAGGCGGACGGGUGAGUAAUGUAUGGGGACUGCCCGAUAGAGGGGGAUAACUACUGGAAACGGUGGCUAAUAUCGCAUAAUGUCGGAUACCCCAUAUGGGAUUAGCUAGUAGGUAAGGUAAUGGCUUACCUAGGCGACGAUCCCUAGCUGGGCUGAAAGGAUGAUCAGCCACACUGGUACUGGGACACGGCCCCGACUCCUACGGAGGAAGCAGUGGGGAUUAUUGCACAAUGGGCGCACGCCUGAUGCAGCCAUGCCGGGUGUAUGAAAAGGUCCCUAGGGUUGUAAAGUACUUUCAGUCGGGAGGCGUUACCGACACAGGAAGCACCGGCUAACUCCGUGCCAGCAGCCGCGGUAAUUC